rnacentral:lncRNA from 1 species
UCCUUUUCAAGUUUCAUCAUUUGAAUUUUAAAAUAUUUUUAACCCUCGACAUUAAGACAUCAAAUAAUCAAUUUGGUACUGAUUUUUGGGCGUUACGAGGGUGCUAACCCUUCCUCGUGCGUAACUGACUCCCGAACCCGUUUUCUCAAAUUUCGUAGACCAGAAUCGUUUUUAAGGUGAGCCGAUCACACCUCAAUAAAGGAUCGGUGGCGACUCCAAUUUUUGUUUUUUAAAGUCGACAACUAAAAUUUUUGUUUUCAAAAAAAUAGUUUCGACAGUGUAAUUGGUAAACUUCAAUACAUAUUGUAAUACCCAAUUCUAAUCCAGGCCCAAAACCAUAAAUACAUAAACACCAAAUUAAAACAAAUUAUAAGUGUCCAGUCCAUUUACAAAUCCAAACCCAAUUCGGUCCAAAUUAUGUGGCCCAAAUUAUAAUUAACCCCAGUCCAAAUUACAGACCCAAAAUCUGACCCACUCAACUAACCCAAAUACCCACAAAACCCAAUUAAACCCUAGCCCAAUUUGAGAUGGCCUAAAUUCAAGUUUCCAGAAACCCUAGGGGUUUUUGGAACAGUCGGCGCCGCUGAACGCGGAAACCAGGCCCUCCACGCAUGCGCUUCCUCCCUUCCACGGCCUCUGCACCUGCGAAUAAAGUGGAGCCAAGCAGUGAAUAUACCAAUACAGCGCAACAAUAACAGAAAUAUAGGAAAUAAUUGCGGAAAGAUAACAAAAAUGUAAAAAAGAGUUCUCGAGAAUUACGUUUUUCUUUCUGUUUCGGCUAUAGGAGGAGCCGAUUAAAUUUGUAAAAGGGGGGAUUCCCGAAUGAAUGAAAAAAAAAGAGAAAAGAAUACAGAUAUUAAGAAAGGAAAUUGAAUAGCAGUUUUGGAAAAGAAGUGAUUUUCUGAUUGUUUUUUCUUUUCUUUGUUUUUUUUUUCCUUUUUUGCAAAACAAAAAGAGCAAAAGGGGAUACUUACCUGCGCGGAGGCGACGACGGAGCCCUAUUUGCUCCGUCCAGGUCGGAGCUAGAUGGGGCUUCGAAUUGUUUGAGGCGGGAGACAAGAGAAUGGGCCAUGGGGCUGCUGUUGUUUCAGAAGAAAAGGGAAAUGGCUUAGGGUUUUCUGAUUUAGGGUUUAAAAUAGCAUUUAUAGGUGCUCGAAACGGCACCGUUUAGGGCCAGACUCAGUGGUUCCAAAACGGUGCCGUACAGGCCGUUGACCCGAGAUCCGACCCGAACCAAGGCCAGAUCCGCGCGUUUCAUCCUAGUGGGCUAUUUUUGCUUUUAAUCCUACUAAUUUGUUCCAUUGUUUUAAUUUGGUUUUUCUUUAUUUUCUGAAUUUGCCCCGUCUGUUUCCAAUUUUAUUGUUUUAAUCCCCUUUAAAACGCAGCAUUCUGAAGGCAGGGGAAUAUUUCUCUUUUAAUCCUCGCAUUAUUCGUGCAUUUUGUUUCAGCCCCUUCAUUUUGAUUUUAUUUCCAUUUGUUACCUUUAAUUUUACUUUAAGUUCAAAUUCAACCCUUAUUAGGUUAUUUUUAUUUUUAAUAUUUGUUAUCCU